rnacentral:rRNA from 1 species
UACGUAGGGUGCGAGCGUUGUCCGGAAUUAUUGGGCGUAAAGAGCUCGUAGGCGGUGUGUCACGUCGGCCGUGAAAACCUGCAGCUUAACUGUGGGCGUGCGGUCGAUACGGGCAUCACUGGAGUUCGGCAGGGGAGACUGGAAUUCCUGGUGUAGCGGUGAAAUGCGCAGAUAUCAGGAGGAACACCGGUGGCGAAGGCGGGUCUCUGGGCCGAUACUGACGCUGAGGAGCGAAAGCCAGGGGAGCGAACGGG